rnacentral:rRNA from 1 species
UACCUGCAGCCCAAGUGGUGGCCGCUAUUAUUGGGCCUAAAACGUCCGUAGCCGGCUUAUUAAAUGCCUGGGUAAAUCGUGUAGCUCAACUAUACGAAUUCCGGGUAGACUGGUAAGCUCGAGACCGGGAGAAGUUAGAGGUACUCCUGGGGUAGAGGUGGAAUUCUGUAAUCCUAGGGGGACCACCAGUGGCGAAGGCGUCUGACUAGAACGGGUCUGACGGUGAGGGACGAAGCCCUGGGGCGCAAACCGGAUUAGAUACCCGGGUAGUCCAGGGUGUAAACGCUGCUUGCUUGAUGUUGGUUGGGCUCCGAGCCCAAUCAGUGUCGGAGAGAAGUUGUUAAGCAAGCUGCCUGGGAAGUACGGUCGCAAGACUGAAACUUAAAGGAAUUGGCGGGGAGCACAGCAACGGGUGGAGCGUGCGGUUU